UGGGGAAUAUUGGACAAUGGGCGAAAGCCUGAUCCAGCCAUGCCGCGUGUGUGAAGAAGGUCUUCGGAUUGUAAAGCACUUUAAGUUGGGAGGAAGGGCAUUAACCUAAUACGUUAGUGUUUUGACGUUACCGACAGAAUAAGCACCGGCUAACUCUGUGCCAGCAGCCGCGGUAAUACAGAGGGUGCAAGCGUUAAUCGGAAUUACUGGGCGUAAAGCGCGCGUAGGUGGUUUGUUAAGUUGGAGGUGAAAGCCCCGGGCUCAACCUGGGAACUGCAUCCAAAACUGGCAAGCUAGAGUACGGUAGAGGGUGGUGGAAUUUCCUGUGUAGCGGUGAAAUGCGUAGAUAUAGGAAGGAACACCAGUGGCGAAGGCGACCACCUGGACUGAUACUGACACUGAGGUGCGAAAGCGUGGGGAGCAAACA
rnacentral:rRNA from 1 species